rnacentral:rRNA from 1 species
ACGCUGGCGGCAGCCUAACACAUGCAAGUCGAGCGGUAGAGAGAAGCUUGCUUCUCUUGAGAGCGGCGGACGGGUGAGUAAUGCCUAGGAAUCUGCCUGGUAGUGGGGGAUAACGUUCGGAAACGGACGCUAAUACCGCAUACGUCCUACGGGAGAAAGCAGGGGACCUUCGGGCCUUGCGCUAUCAGAUGAGCCUAGGUCGGAUUAGCUAGUUGGUGAGGUAAUGGCUCACCAAGGCGACGAUCCGUAACUGGUCUGAGAGGAUGAUCAGUCACACUGGAACUGAGACACGGUCAGACUCCUACGGGAGGCAGCAGUGGGGAAUAUUGGACAAUGGGCGAAAGCCUGAUCCAGCCAUGCCGCGUGUGUGAAGAAGGUCUUCGGAUUGUAAAGCACUUUAAGUUGGGAGGAAGGGCAGUUACCUAAUACGUGAUUGCUUUGACGUUACCGACAGAAUAAGCACCGGCUAACUCUGUGCCAGCAGCCGCGGUAAUACAGAGGGUGCAAGCGUUAAUCGGAAUUACUGGGCGUAAAGCGCGCGUAGGUGGUUUGUUAAGUUGGAUGUGAAAUCCCCGGGCUCAACCUGGGAACUGCAUUCAAAACUGACUGACUAGAGUGUGGUAGAGGGUGGUGGAAUUUCCUGUGUAGCGGUGAAAUGCGUAGAUAUAGGAAGGAACACCAGUGGCGAAGGCGACCACCUGGACCAACACUGACACUGAGGUGCGAAAGCGUGGGGAGCAAAC